UCUUGGCAGUGAGAGGAGAGAGAACAAAGCUAAAGGUGCUGAAGUAAGGUGGCAGCGCUUUAAAGAAGAAGAAAAAAAUAAAAAGGAAAAGGAAAGAUACCUACCAAGAAAAAGAGUGACCUGGUCUACAAAGAUGAAGAAGCUGUCAAUUAGGGUGGAAUAAACUUAUCAUGCAAGAAGUUGGCAUAGAUACUAGUCUCACCUUAAAGGUGCUUUAAAAAUAAAGUGGGAUCAGGCAAGGCAGAUAGGUGGCAUAGGAGUUAAGCUCAAGCAGAGAUAAUGAACAAAAAUACCAGAGGAAUUAGGAUUAAAAGCAAUAAAGUCUUGAAUAUUGGUAAGAAAAGAUGAAGAAGAGAGUGUACAAGGAGGAGUUCUCACUCCAAACAACAGUGGCAUGUGAAACCCAAGAGAUCAGACCUUGAAAGCUAUGUACUAAUAGGUUAUUUAGUUUUCAAAAUCUUAAAUUAAUAGCAAUUGGCAAUAAAGCUCAUUAAAAUUC
rnacentral:antisense_RNA from 1 species